GGAGUCUUUAGGUACCUAAUGGUCUGAGAGUCUUUAGGUACCUAAUGGUCUGGGAGUCUUUAGGUACCUAAUGGUCUGAGAGUCUUUAGGUACCUAAUGGUCUGGGAGUCUUUAUGUACCUAAUGGUCUGAGAGUCUUUAGGUACCUAAUGGUCUGAGAGUCUUUAGGUACCUCAUGGUCUGAGAGUCUUUAGGUACCUAAUGGUCUGGGAGUCUUUAGGUACCUAAUGGUCUGGGAGUCUUUAGGUACCUAAUGGUCUGGGAGUCUUUAGGUACCUCAUGGUCUGGGAGUCUUUAGGUACCUCAUGGUCUGGGAGUCUUUAGGUACCUAAUGGUCUGGGAGUCUUUAGGUACCUCAUGGUCUGGGAGUCUUUAGGUACCUAACGGUCUGGGAGUCUUUAGGUACCUCAUGGUCUGGGAGUCUUUAGGUACCUCAUGGUCUGAGAGUCUUUAGGUACCUCAUGGUCUGGGAGUCUUUAGGUACCUUUUGGAAAACUCCAAGCGGGCUGUCAUGUGCUUUUUACUGAGGAGUGGCUUCCGUCUGGCCACUCUACCAUAAACUGGUGGAGUGUUGCAGAGAUGGGUUCUUGGUAACCUCCCUGACCAAGGCCCUUCUCCCCCGAUUGCUCAGUUUGGUCAAGGGGUCUGAAUACUUUCCGAAUGCAGUGUACAUUGUGUGUCCCCACAAGGUAAGUUAAACAAGAUGGCGAUUGUGUGUGUUUCCAGUAACAUCCCAAUAACAAAACAGCUUCUGUCUCAAGGUCAUCAGACUGUUAAACAGCCAUCACUAACAGAGUGGCUGCUGCCAACAUACAGACUCAAAUCUCUG
ensembl:lncRNA